GAUGAACGCUGGCGGCGUGCCUAAUACAUGCAAGUCGAGCGAACAGAUGAGGAGCUCGCUCCUCUGACGUUAGCGGCGGACGGGUGAGUAACACGUGGAUAACCUACCUAUAAGACUGUGAUAACUUCGGGAAACCGGAGCUAAUACCGGAUAAUAUAUUGAACCGCAUGGUUCAAUAGUGAAAGACGGUUUUGCUGUCACUUAUAGAUGGAUCCGCGCCGCAUUAGCUAGUUGGUAAGGUAACGGCUUACCAAGGCAACGAUGCGUAGCCGACCUGAGAGGGUGAUCGGCCACACUGGAACUGAGACACGGUCCAGACUCCUACGGGAGGCAGCAGUAGGGAAUCUUCCGCAAAGGGCGAAAGCCUGACGGAGCAACGCCGCGUGAGUGAUGAAGGUCUUCGGAUCGUAAAACGCUGUUAUUAGGGAAGAACAAAUGUGUAAGUAACUAUGCACGUCUUGACGGUACCUAAUCAGAAAGCCACGGCUAACUACGUG
rnacentral:rRNA from 1 species